GAAUUAAUUAAUCUAUAAGUAAAUUUGAUAAUUUCCAAGCUGGAAACGUUACAAGGUUUAAAGAAAAUCCAUAAAAUAGGGUAACAAGAAUUCUGAUGAUUUGUGACCAUAACGAAUCACCUUCACAAUGUUAUUCUAUGAAACCCUACUAUAGAAAAUUCUAAAAGGUUCUAUACGGAACUAGAUACUAGCUUUUGAUCAUAAACAAGGUUCUAUCCAAGUUUGGCAGAAAUCAAUGACAGUUUGAGAAAGGUUAUUAUCAUUUUUAAACCUUUUACCACAGAAUGAAUAUUUGUGGAGGCCGCAACCAACUACGACGGAAUGUAGGAUGGCUAUGUAUCGCUUUUGCGACAAAAGUUGCAGGCUCGACAAAAAGGGAGAAAUAUUAAAAACAACAAAAAUAUCUGAAAAAACUGAAGAAAAUAAAACAUAGUAAAUUAACUAACAUGAGAUACAAAAUUUCAAGAAAUUCCAUCAAGUAAUAUGGGAGAAUAUUACAGCACACA
rnacentral:lncRNA from 1 species